GAUGAACGCUGGCGGCGUGCCUAAUACAUGCAAGUCGAGCGAACAGACGAGGAGUUUGCUCCUCUGACGUUAGCGGCGGACGGGUGAGUAACACGUGGAUAACCUACCUAUAAGACUGGGAUAAAUUCGGGACACUGGAGAUAAUACCGGAUAAUAUAUUGAAGCGUAUGGUUUAAUAGUGAAAGACGGUUUUGCUGUCACCUAUUGAUGGUUCCCGGCCUUAUUUGCUAGUUGGUAGGGAAACGGCUUACCAAGGCAACGAUGCGUAGCCGACCUGGGGGGGUGACCGCCCAACCUGGAACUGAGACACGGUCCAGACUCCUACGGGAGGAAGAGGUAGGGAAUCUUCGGCAAGGGGCGAAGGCCUGACGGGGAAACGCCGCGUGGGUGAUGAAGUUCUUCGGAUCGUAAAACUCUGUUAUUAGGAAAGACCAAAUGUGUAAGUAACUAUGCACGUCUUGACGGUACCUAAUCAGAAAGCCACGGCUAACUACGUG
rnacentral:rRNA from 1 species